AAGCGAAGAAGUAAGGUUUGUUGUGCCAGAGGACAGUACCUUACGAGCUUUAUAAGGGUUUGGCAUUUACCACAAUCUGGCUAGAGAAUGCAGACUCUCAAAAGAAAAUGCCAGAG
rnacentral:ncRNA from 1 species